rnacentral:rRNA from 1 species
UGCAAGUCGAGCGGACAGAAGGGAGCUUGCUCCCGGAUGUUAGCGGCGGACGGGUGAGUAACACGUGGGUAACCUGCCUGUAAGACUGGGAUAACUCCGGGAAACCGGAGCUAAUACCGGAUAGUUCCUUGAACCGCAUGGUUCAAGGAUGAAAGACGGUUUCGGCUGUCACUUACAGAUGGACCCGCGGCGCAUUAGCUAGUUGGUGAGGUAACGGCUCACCAAGGCGACGAUGCGUAGCCGACCUGAGAGGGUGAUCGGCCACACUGGGACUGAGACACGGCCCAGACUCCUACGGGAGGCAGCAGUAGGGAAUCUUCCGCAAUGGACGAAAGUCUGACGGAGCAACGCCGCGUGAGUGAUGAAGGUUUUCGGAUCGUAAAGCUCUGUUGUUAGGGAAGAACAAGUGCAAGAGUAACUGCUUGCACCUUGACGGUACCUAACCAGAAAGCCACGGCUAACUACGUGCCAGCAGCCGCGGUAAUACGUAGGUGGCAAGCGUUGUCCGGAAUUAUUGGGCGUAAAGGGCUCGCAGGCGGUUUCUUAAGUCUGAUGUGAAAGCCCCCGGCUCAACCGGGGAGGGUCAUUGGAAACUGGGAAACUUGAGUGCAGAAGAGGAGAGUGGAAUUCCACGUGUAGCGGUGAAAUGCGUAGAGAUGUGGAGGAACACCAGUGGCGAAGGCGACUCUCUGGUCUGUAACUGACGCUGAGGAGCGAAAGCGUGGGGAG